rnacentral:tRNA from 1 species
GGUGGCUCAGUGGUAGAGUGCUUGCCUUGAAUGCAUGAGGCCUUGGGUUCGAUCCUUCAGCACCA